rnacentral:rRNA from 1 species
CCAGAGAACUUAGCAGAGAUGCUUUGGUGCCUUCGGGGAACUCUGAGACAGGUGCUGCAUGGCUGUCGUCAGCUCGUGUUGUGAAAUGUUGGGUUAAGUCCCGCAACGAGCGCAACCCUUAUCCUUUGUUGCCAGCGGCUCGGCCGGGAACUCAAAGGAGACUGCCGGUGAUAAACCGGAGGAAGGUGGGGAUGACGUCAAGUCAUCAUGGCCCUUACGGCCAGGGCUACACACGUGCUACAAUGGCGCAUACAAAGAGAAGCGACCUCGCGAGAGCAAGCGGACCUCACAAAGUGCGUCGUAGUCCGGAUUGGAGUCUGCAACUCGACUCCAUGAAGUCGGAAUCGCUAGUAAUCGUAGAUCAGAAUGCUACGGUGAAUACGUUCCCGGGCCUUGUACACACCGCCCGUCACACCAUGGGAGUGGGUUGCAAAAGAAGUAGGUAGCUUAACCUUCGGGAGGGCGCUUACCACUUUGUGAUUCAUGACUGGGGUGAAGUCGUAACAAGGUAGGCGUAGCGAG